rnacentral:rRNA from 1 species
AGCUACAGGCUUAACACAUGCAAGUCGAGGGGCAGCAUUUUAGUUUGCUUGCAAACUGAAGAUGGCGACCGGCGCACGGGUGAGUAACACGUAUCCAACCUGCCGAUAACUCCGGAAUAGCCUUUCGAAAGAAAGAUUAAUACCGGAUAGCAUACGAAUAUCGCAUGAUAUUUUUAUUAAAGAAUUUCGGUUAUCGAUGGGGAUGCGUUCCAUUAGUUUGUUGGCGGGGUAACGGCCCACCAAGACAACGAUGGAUAGGGGUUCUGAGAGGAAGGUCCCCCACAUUGGAACUGAGACACGGUCCAAACUCCUACGGGAGGCAGCAGUGAGGAAUAUUGGUCAAUGGGCGAGAGCCUGAACCAGCCAAGUAGCGUGAAGGAUGAAGGCUCUAUGGGUCGUAAACUUCUUUUAUAUGGGAAUAAAGUUUUCCACGUGUGGAAUUUUGUAUGUACCAUAUGAAUAAGGAUCGGCUAACUCCGUGCCAGCAGCCGCGGUAAUACGGAGGAUCCGAGCGUUAUCCGGAUUUAUUGGGUUUAAAGGGAGCGUAGGUGGAUUGUUAAGUCAGUUGUGAAAGUUUGCGGCUCAACCGUAAAAUUGCAGUUGAAACUGGCAGUCUUGAGUACAGUAGAGGUGGGCGGAAUUCGUGGUGUAGCGGUGAAAUGCUUAGAUAUCACGAAGAACUCCGAUUGCGAAGGCAGCUCACUAGACUGUCACUGACACUGAUGCUCGAAAGUGUGGGUAUCAAACAGGAUUAGAUACCCUGGUAGUCCACACAGUAAACGAUGAAUACUCGCUGUUUGCGAUAUACAGUAAGCGGCCAAGCGAAAGCAUUAAGUAUUCCACCUGGGGAGUACGCCGGCAACGGUGAAACUCAAAGGAAUUGACGGGGGCCCGCACAAGCGGAGGAACAUGUGGUUUAAUUCGAUGAUACGCGAGGAACCUUACCCGGGCUUAAAUUGCAACAGAAUAUAUUGGAAACAGUAUAGCCGUAAGGCUGUUGUGAAGGUGCUGCAUGGUUGUCGUCAGCUCGUGCCGUGAGGUGUCGGCUUAAGUGCCAUAACGAGCGCAACCCUUAUCUUUAGUUACUAACAGGUGAUGCUGAGGACUCUAGAGAGACUGCCGUCGUAAGAUGUGAGGAAGGUGGGGAUGACGUCAAAUCAGCACGGCCCUUACGUCCGGGGCUACACACGUGUUACAAUGGGGGGUACAGAAGGCGGCUACCUGGUGACAGGAUGCUAAUCCCAAAAACCUCUCUCAGUUCGGAUCGAAGUCUGCAACCCGACUUCGUGAAGCUGGAUUCGCUAGUAAUCGCGCAUCAGCCAUGGCGCGGUGAAUACGUUCCCGGGCCUUGUACACACCGCCCGUCAAGCCAUGAAAGCCGGGGGUACCUGAAGUACGUAACCGCAAGGAGCGUCCUAGGGUAAAACUGGUAAUUGGGGCUAAGUCGUA